rnacentral:sRNA from 1 species
GCAGUUCCUUGCCAAUUUUUGAUAGCAUUGUGUUCAUCCAUUUUCUCAGGCAGGGACUACAGGAAAUGAAGGUGAUCUUGUGGGGAUUUUGGAGAGAAUUUAAUGAAGAGGCUGUUUACCAAGGAUCUCUCUCUGUCUCCGAGGCUGGAGUGCAAUGGUGCAAUUAGGGCUCACUGCAGCCUCGACCUCCUGGGCCCAACUGAUCUUCCUACCACAGCCUCAUGAGUAACUGGGACUACAGAAGACCAUGGGCAUUUUUUCUAUGCAACUACAGAUAGUAUCCCAUGAUGUGAAUGGCCCUGGAUUUACUUACACAUCCUCCUUUUGAUGAGCAAGCACUGGUUCUGGUGGACACUGAGAGUCAAUUUUUAUUUGCUGCAUGUGGAAAGGACAACAACAUACCUGGACAGAAAUGCCUCAAGGAUGUACUGAAGGCCCCUGUCACUUUUCACAGCCAUAACUGUAAGUUUCCUGAGGCCUCUCCAGAAGCCAAGCCGAUGCCGCUAUGCUUCCUGAACAGCCCACAGAACUAGGCGGGGUCUCACCAUGUUAGCCAGUAUGGUCUCGAUCUCCUGACCUCGUGAUCCACCUGCCUCGGCCUCCCAAAGUGCUGGGAUUACAGGCGUGAGCCACUGCACCUGGCCGAUGGUCUUCCAGUUU